AAGUGCCUCCCACCCAGCUUUCCAGAACUCAAAGUUGCAGAGUUGCUAUCAGUAUUGGUAGAAAGAAUUUCCUCAACUGGAGUUCCUUAUUUCACCAAAGAAAUGUUCCCUACACCAAUGAAAUGACAUGUCUACCCUACCCCACCUUCCACACUCCACCAGGGAGAAAAAUGUCUUCAUAUGUUUAGAAUUUAAGUUCCUUGAAAGAAGAGAUUGUCUCAUGCUUUGUAUCUGUAUCCCUAGCACUUAGCACAGGGCCAGGUAAAUGUUUAAUACAGUAACACUCAGUACCAGCUUACUCAGUAAAAUGUUUAAUAAUUGAUUUUGUACAGUUUAAUUUCAUAUCCCUGACAUUACCUGUGUGGCCUUUUCCAUGUUAUUUCAUGUCCCUCAGUUUCAUCAUCUUUAAAAUAAAGAGUAUUGGAGGGAGCAGGCUGUCCCCAAGGUAUCUUCCAGCUUUAAACACAUUAACGCUAUGAUGAUUCAGAAGGUGUUUCAUCACAUCUUAGAGGAAAAGGGAAGUUUUUGUUGUUAUUUUAAGAGAAACAUAAAAAACAAGGAGAUGCUUUUAAAAAUGUAUCUUCCUGCAAAACUGCAGUGCCUCAUUAAUAGUUGUCACUCUACAAAGCUUCAUUGAAGUCAGACUCCGUCAGAGCAGACUGUGACCCUUCAGCGGUAAAGCCAGCGUCAUCAAUGGGGAUUCGCUGAAUCAACUCCUUCCUGGGCACUUGGGGGAGAAUUGCCUCUAGAAUAUGUCUGCAGCCUGGAGGAGCAAGAAAGACUUCCAGAUCCUUACAAGUAUGCUAAGAACUGAGGAAAGGUACCCAUAGUGUUUGGGAAAACUCCAUUGUGAGGAACAAGAGCACCACAAUGAGAUGGAGGCAGGUGGAUUGAGGUCUGGGCACAAUCGCAUCUACUGAAGAGAGAUGAAUCAUGUGAGAGAAAAAAGAAAGAUGGUUGACCUAAAGGCAAGAAAAAGAAACCACCAAAGUAUUUUUCUGUCCAUUGAGUACCUACAACAGGGAACUGAGUUCCUGGGAAGUGAAUUAGAGAGUGAGACCUUUGGUUUUUCAGUGAAUGAUUGUGAUCAAAAUGAUGACCCAUACUGUGGGAUAUGGAGACAGUUUUUCAGUUCUCUUCACAGCAAGAGGACAGUUGAUGGAGCUGUAGCAUUUGCAGAAUCUAAAAGGGCACUGUGCUACAUGCUGGAGAUAGAAGCAAAGAUGAAACAGUUGCUGCCCUCAAAGAGCUUACAUCCUACAGCUGAGGAAAGAGGGGAUGGGGAGGAUGUUAGGAGAAGCUCAGAGGAGGAGCUCAAGAAGCAGAGAAGUGAAGGAACCUAACCAAGAUCACAGAAGCUAGUAUGAACAUGGUAGAGGACUACAGAAGAUCAGUAACAAAUGGACAGAUUUGAAAGGCUUGAGUCCAUAGUCUCUGGUGUGACAGGCACAUAUUAUGCAAACUCAGCUCCUGCAAACCCAUUCCAGAG
rnacentral:lncRNA from 1 species